UUGCCAAUAACAGCUCUACUCUUUUCAAACAAGCCUCUGUGGGCCGGGGAUGUGGCACAGUGGUGACGCUGCCUGGCUUGUAACUCAGUGCCAAGGUUCCAGGUUCAAUCGCCAGAAACAGAGCCCCGGCCGAGCUUCAUCACGACUGGCAGCCUCAUCCCUCGGGGACAAGUUCAAGACCUCCUGACUGAGUUCCCAUGUUUCAAGUUCAAUGGGGAAGGGAGCAGUUGCUCCUGCCCCCAGGGAGAAUUUCACACCCUUGCCUAUUUGCAGCACUGCUUGAAAACAAUCGACUCAUCUUUCAAGUCGGACCAAACUCCGAAGGGAAGGAGCGCUCAGCCACCUCCUGCGCAGCCACCUCCUGCGGUUGUGCGCGUUGGCGCUCAGCAGCUUCGCACUGCUCACAGAUGGCUUCUGUUGCGUUCUGUGUCAUCCAGUCAUCCCGCACUACUUCCUCUCACACUUUGACGGCAGGAGUAAUUGAAGAGCUCACCGUGACGGGCGUCUCUUCUUCCAGAUGCCCUGGAUAGGAGGACUGUGGCUUUCGUCACCUCCUCGAUGUGGGAUGUGUGCAUGGCCUUCCGCCUCAGAGUGGCUCCACGCAAGGUAUUACAGACUGUGAGGACGUGGAAAGGAUGAGGGAAGACCUGACAAGUGAACACACUGCAUCCACUCAAAAGCGUGGGGAAAGAAAAGUCAGAAGCGACUAUAGAGUGAUGUGAAGGCGGGAGAGCUACCCAGAGGAGAGCAGCAGAAGGAGCAAAGAAAACAAGAGGCAGCCGUGAGAUGUGUUCGCGGAGGAUGAGGCCUGAAGCUCACGCAGUGAGACCAUGACUGGUGGAGACCACGAAGAUCAAGCAGGUGCACUGUAUUUGGA